UACGUAGGGGGCAAGCGUUGUCCGGAUUUAUUGGGCGUAAAGAGCGUGUAGGCGGCCAUGUAGGUCCGGUGUGAAAACUCGAGGCUUAACCUCGAGAUGUCAUCGGAAACCAUUUGGCUAGAGUCCGGAAGAGGAGAGUGGAAUUCCUGGUGUAGCGGUGAAAUGCGCAGAUAUCAGGAAGAACACCAAUGGCGAAAGCAGCUCUCUGGGACGGUACUGACGCUGAGACGCGAAAUCGUGGGGAGCGAACAGG
rnacentral:rRNA from 1 species